rnacentral:rRNA from 1 species
UACGUAGGGGGCAAGCGUUGUCCGGAAUUAUUGGGCGUAAAGCGCGCGCAGGCGGUUAUUUAAGUCUGGUGUUUAAACCUUGGGCUCAACCUGGGGUCGCACUGGAAACUGGGUAACUUGAGUACAGAAGAGGAAAGUGGAAUUCCACGUGUAGCGGUGAAAUGCGUAGAGAUGUGGAGGAACACCAGUGGCGAAGGCGACUCAC